ACCGGCGCACGGGUGCGUAACGCGUAUGCAACCUACCUUCAUCUGGGGGAUAGCCCGGAGAAAUCCGGAUUAAUACCGCAUAAAAUCACAGGAUGGCAUUAUCCAAUGAUCAAACAUUUAUGGGAUGGAGAUGGGCAUGCGUGUCAUUAGCUAGUUGGCGGGGUAACGGCCCACCAAGGCGACGAUGACUAGGGGAUCUGAGAGGAUGGCCCCCCACACUGGUACUGAGACACGGACCAGACUCCUACGGGAGGCAGCAGUAAGGAAUAUUGGUCAAUGGAGGCAACUCUGAACCAGCCAUGCCGCGUGCAGGAAGACUGCCCUAUGGGUUGUAAACUGCUUUUAUUCGGGAAUAAACCUUAUUACGUGUAAUAAGCUGAAUGUACCGAAGGAAUAAGGAUCGGCUAACUCCGUGCCAGCAGCCGCGGUAAUACGGAGGAUCCAAGCGUUAUCCGGAUUUAUUGGGUUUAAAGGGUGCGUAGGCGGCCUGUUAAGUCAGGGGUGAAAGACGGUAGCUCAACUAUCGCAGUGCCCUUGAUACUGAUGGGCUUGAAUGGACUAGAGGUAGGCGGAAUGAGACAAGUAGCGGUGAAAUGCAUAGAUAUGUCUCAGAACACCGAUUGCGAAGGCAGCUUACUAUGGUCUUAUUGACGCUGAGGCACGAAAGCGUGGGGAUCAAACAGGAUUAGAUACCCUGGUAGUCCACGCCCUAAACGAUGAACACUCGCUGUUGGC
rnacentral:rRNA from 1 species